AUGGCUUUUACUGACAGCAGAGAAUUAAAAAAUGCACUAGUUAAAUAUGGACUGAAGAAUUUUCAUCAUUUGAUAUUUCUUAAGGAUGAGAAGAAGAGAGUAAGUGCCAAGUGUAGCUGGGUUGGUUGCAAAUGGAACAUCUAUGGGUCAAUAAAUAGCAAAUCUGACUUGUUGAUAGUUCACAUGUACAAUAAUGUCCACACUUGUGUGCCUAGGAGAGACAAUAAGCUGGUGACUAGUACUGUGAUUGCUAGGAAAUACUUCAGGCAGAUUAGAGACAAUCUAACAUGGAGGGUGGAGAAAAUGCACGAAGCUGUACUAGAAGAUAUGCUAGCAGAUGUGACCAUAUCCAAAUGCAAGAGGGCAAAGAAGCUUGUCAUGGAAAAGCUCAUAGAUUCAACUAAUGGUGAGUACUCGAGAGUAUUUGACUACCACCUUGAGUUACUAAGGAGCAAUCCUAGGAGUACUAUUGCAGUGACAGUAGACCCAGAUGUGCAUGACAGGAAUGUUUUUUAG
rnacentral:rRNA from 1 species